AUAAUCUUCUGCCACGCGUCCCCUUACAUUUGAAAUGAACCAAGGCCUUGAACUGUUAUAACUGUCGAAGUCGAAUCACAUUUGAAGGAUGAAAAAUACUCUAAGUCCAUGACUUUAAACGUUUUGAUUCAUCAAUUGUCAUCGAAUCAUUUAUCUACUUUGAAAGAUAGAAUCUCUUCAUAUCUGGUAGAUUCAUAUGAAGCCAUAUAAAGCAUACUUUCCAUCAGAACUCUCUUAUUCUUAAAGACAUUACCCUUAACCUUCAUUAAAUGAUAAGAUAAAAGAGUUAAACUCUCUUGUUCUUGAAGACAUUUAAAGCCUGACACUACUUUCAAUAAUGAAUGUCUUUGGAAUUAGAGAUGAAAACAUAUUUUAGCUCGAGCUAAAAUAUGGGAUAACA
rnacentral:lncRNA from 1 species